AGGAGGCUGUCCUGCUCCCACUACAGUGCGGCCGAAAAAAAGGAAAGAAUGCCCACAUACAGUGACAGGGAGCCAGGGUUAUUACCCUGUGAAGAGCGUUGCCAAAUACAAAGUCAUUAAGGGUCAAAAAUGGAAGCAAGUGGAGUGGGA